GACGAACGCUUGCGGCGUGCUUAACACAUGCAAGUCGAACGGAAAGGCCCUGCUUUUGUGGGGUGCUCGAGUGGCGAACGGGUGAGUAACACGUGAGUAACCUGCCCUUGACUUUGGGAUAACUUCAGGAAACUGGGGCUAAUACCGGAUAGGAGCUCCUGCUGCAUGGUGGGGGUUGGAAAGUUUCGGCGGUUGGGGAUGGACUCGCGGCUUAUCAGCUUGUUGGUGGGGUAGUGGCUUACCAAGGCUUUGACGGGUAGCCGGCCUGAGAGGGUGACCGGCCACAUUGGGACUGAGAUACGGCCCAGACUCCUACGGGAGGCAGCAGUGGGGAAUAUUGCACAAUGGGCGGAAGCCUGAUGCAGCAACGCCGCGUGCGGGAUGACGGCCUUCGGGUUGUAAACCGCUUUCGCCUGUGACGAAGCGUGAGUAACGGUAAUGGUAAAGAAGCACCGGCUAACUACGUGCCAGCAGCCGCGGUGAUACGUAGGGUGCGAGCGUUGUCCGGAUUUAUUGGGCGUAAAGGGCUCGUAGGUGGUUGAUCGCGUCGGAAGUGUAAUCUUGGGGCUUAACCCUGAGCGUGCUUUCGAUACGGGUUGACUUGAGGAAGGUAGGGGAGAAUGGAAUUCCUGGUGGAGCGGUGGAAUGCGCAGAUAUCAGGAGGAACACCAGUGGCGAAGGCGGUUCUCUGGGCCUUUCCUGACGCUGAGGAGCGAAAGCGUGGGGAGCGAACAGGCUUAGAUACCCUGGUAGUCCACGCUGUAAACGGUGGGUACUAGGUGUGGGGUCCAUUCCACGGGUUCCGUGCCGUAGCUAACGCUUUAAGUACCCCGCCUGGGGAGUACGGCCGCAAGGCUAAAACUCAAAGGAAUUGACGGGGCCCCGCACAAGCGGCGGAGCAUGCGGAUUAAUUCGAUGCAACGCGUAGAACCUUACCUGGGUUUGACAUGGAUCGGGAGUGCUCAGAGAUGGGUGUGCCUCUUUUGGGGUCGGUUCACAGGUGGUGCAUGCCUGUCGUCAGCUCGUGUCGUGAGAUGUUGGGUUAAGUCCCGCAACGAGCGCAACCCUUGUUCACUGUUGCCAGCACGUUAUGGUGGGGACUCAGUGGAGACCGCCGGGGUCAACUCGGAGGAAGGUGGGGAUGACGUCAAGUCAUCAUGCCCCUUAUGUCCAGGGCUUCACGCAUGCUACAAUGGCUGGUACAGAGAGUGGCGAGCCUGUGAGGGUGAGCGAAUCUCGGAAAGCCGGUCUCAGUUCGGAUUGGGGUCUGCAACUCGACCUCAUGAAGUCGGAGUCGCUAGUAAUCGCAGAUCAGCAACGCUGCGGUGAAUACGUUCCCGGGGCU
rnacentral:rRNA from 1 species